AGCGAACGCUGGCGGCAGGCCUAACACAUGCAAGUCGAACGAAGUCUUCGGACUUAGUGGCGGACGGGUGAGUAACACGUGGGAACGUGCCUUUAGGUUCGGAAUAACUCAGGGAAACUUGUGCUAAUACCGAAUGUGCCCUUCGGGGGAAAGAUUUAUCGCCUUUAGAGCGGCCCGCGUCUGAUUAGCUAGUUGGUGGGGUAAAGGCUCACCAAGGCUACGAUCAGUAGCUGGUCUGAGAGGAUGACCAGCCACGUUGGGACUGAGACACGGCCCAAACUCCUACGGGAGGCAGCAGUGGGGAAUCUUGCGCAAUGGGCGAAAGCCUGACGCAGCCAUGCCGCGUGGAUGAUGAAGGUCUUAGGAUUGUAAAAUCCUUUCACCGGUGAAGAUAAUGACUGUAGCCGGAGAAGAAGCCCCGGCUAACUUCGUGCCAGCCGCCGCGGUAAUAC
rnacentral:rRNA from 1 species